GACGAACGCUGGCGGCGCGCCUAACACAUGCAAGUCGAACGAGCGAGAGAGAGCUUGCUUUCUCGAGCGAGUGGCGAACGGGUGAGUAACGCGUGAGGAACCUGCCUCAAAGAGGGGGACAACAGUUGGAAACGACUGCUAAUACCGCAUAAGCCCACGACCCGGCAUCGGGUAGAGGGAAAAGGAGCAAUCCGCUUUGAGAUGGCCUCGCGUCCGAUUAGCUAGUUGGUGAGGUAACGGCCCACCACGGCGACGAUCGGUAGCCGGACUGAGAGGUUGAACGGCCACAUUGGGACUGAGACACGGCCCAGACUCCUACGGGAGGCAGCAGUGGGGAAUAUUGCACAAUGGGGGAAACCCUGAUGCAGCGACGCCGCGUGGAGGAAGAAGGUCUUCGGAUUGUAAACUCCUGUUGUUGAGGAAGAUAAUGACGGUACUCAACAAGGAAGUGACGGCUAACUACGUG
rnacentral:rRNA from 1 species